UUGCCACUGGCUCCCCGCGAAUAUCUGACCUGGGAUGACCCCAAUGCUCCGUACAGAAGGGUACUUUGCUCUAAAGAACUUAAUGAUCUACAUGAUGACGUUGCAAAUCCGACCGUUCAUACGUCCGCGCCGAAAAAUCGUCAUCAAUUCGACGAGGUUGAAGGAAAAGUAGUUCCCAAUGGGAGGCAGUCACCGUAUGAAGCUUCUGAAUAUGCGCGCCUAGAGUCCAGUCAGCGCGAAGCCAGGAGACUUAAUACAUACAAGCUGUUCCCAACUUUAAAAGGUACCGAGGAACAUCAAACAGAAGAGCAACAAUCGAUGCGAGAAUAAAUUAUCGCAGUCUACAAGUUGGUUGUAAAAUUCGUCUCCAGUACACUGUGAUUGCAUGCUUAUUUCAGAAGACAUAUACAUUAUAUAUACAUGUACUUGUGCAAACGACGAUACCUUAGAACUGUGUGUUUCCCGUAUAUCAUUGAACCCAUUUAUGCCUAGUGAACUCUCCCAUCCUUCUAAAUUGGAUCAAUUUAUUUACAAAAUUAGAGAUGUCUAAUAUAUUUAUUUCUAUAUUUAGAAUAUUUCUUACAGAAAUUCCUUCAAGCAAACAGCGCAGACCCUGAUAAGAAGCAGCAUCAUGCGGCGUCUCAUCUGGGUCUGCGCUGUUUGCCACGGCCUUUUUUUCUAGACGGAGGGCAUAAAUGGGUUAGUGAAGACAGGCCUUAAAUGAGGUAUUUUUUAUUGGUUGUCAGAGUUUAUGAUUUUUACAUUUUACAUUAGCAUUUGCUUCAAAAUUUAAUUUAAGAUUCUAGAAUUAAG